CACAUAUAUUCUUUCCUUCUUCAAUUCAACUGCAACCCAACCUAUCACACGCAUAUCUUGUGUUUGAGUGCAAUUUCAUUUGAUGACAAAAACAAAACAAAAAGAUGCAGCACCUAACGAACUCAACAGUGUAGCUAAUAAUUAAUAUAUUAAAUUUGAGUCGGUGAGUAUAUCAUGCCCUGGUAAAGAACAUUCCUGCUCUAUCGCUCAUGUCUGUCCACUUCCUGAUGUAUUGUGUGUUAGUUCCUGCCCAGACUCGGCUUCGCUGCCUCUCAACAACACAGCGGACCGUUAACCAUGCGGAGGUCCGAUAAGAAUGCGCUAUACGUCACAGUGUGUGUGGAAUGCCGUCACUUCGCCGGCUGACUUCGACCUGAACCGUCCUAUGAAUAGACCCGACCAGGGAACCAUAAAUAGGCCUGGCAGCACAAAGCCAGGAUGAUACUCUUGUCCUGCAAGCUAAAGCCAAUCAGAGACUAAAUACCUCACACCAGGGAGGAAAUGACCAUCCAGGGAAGACCUGCCUCAUACAAACCCUGCUGAGAAAAGAUAGAGAUGUUUGUUUUAAACUUGUGAUUCAUUAUUCCUAAUAACUUCCCAUGUGAGAAACUGAGAUGUCUUGUGACUCAGUCCAUGCUCUUCUAAAUAAGGCCCUGAGCUCCUCUGUGAUAUUCAGCUUUGUGUUCAGCACUCACCGUCUUUAUUUUAGCCCUGACACACAGAUUGCAGAGAAGUAGUAAAUUAAUGAAGUGAUUCUCUGUUUUUAGGAUGAUGCAGAGGAGAAAAAGAGAGAAGCAAAACUCCUGCUGCUGUGUUCGUGCUGUUGGGAAAUUUAAACUAAACAUUGGGUCAAAAAGUAAGAGCCUCAGAAGAACUCGCAGUGCCGUUGUGAGCUGAUCAGACCUCACAUGGCUGCUAGCGCCAGGCGUGUUGGUCUGAGUAUUUCAGAAACUGCUGAUCUCCUGGGAUUUUCACUCAUAAUCAUCUCUCGGUUUUAUAGGCAGAGGUCCAAAUGAGAGAAAAUACCCAGAAAGCUGCAGUUGUGUAGACGGAAAACGCCUUGUUGAUGUCAUGGGAGAAUGGGCAGGGCGGUUGGAGACGACAGAAAAGCAACAGCAGCUUAAAUACAUCUGUCCAACGCAUGUAAUUAAGAUGAAAAAAUAUUUAUUACCUCCAUUUUAUGGCACAACAUUCAUAUCACCACAAACUCAAAUGUUGCUCUUGAAAAACAUUCCCAUUUACGACACCAAUAACUUAAAGAAAUGGGAUUUAUAUCACUAAACUGCUCAGUCCUCCUGCAUUUGACUAUAUUUUGGAUUUUACUGAUGCUAUAGUGAAACAAUUAGUGGAGAAAAUGCCAAAAAUACAAUUUUUUACUACUGUCACUUUUAAAUUUUAUUUGGCAUCAUCAAUUGAAAUUUAUCAAGACAAUGAUACACCAAAAUUCUUACCAUGAUAUUAAGUUUUUCACGAUACAUGAUAAACGAUACAAUAAAUGUCCACCACUGUUUUGAAUGCAAUCUUAAAGCCAUUUUUUGAAAACAAACUCAUUCUUUAAAGUCAUUCUUUAAAGUCAUUCUUUAACAUAACCUGAAAUGGAAUAUUUCAAUCCAAAGGUUUUUUAGACGCUAGAAGAAAUACUCAAACCAGGGUCAAAAGUUUGUUGCUGUGGAGAAACAAUCUGUAAAAAACAAUCACAGCUAUGAUUCAUCUGAUCAACUUUCACAAUUGCUCCAUUUAUGUAGGAACUCCACCUUUCCCUUUCGACUUCAGCGUUUUUCCCUGUUGGCUAAUAAUAUAAACCUCUAGUUGUUUGAGUCCAGUUCAGGGAUGAAGGAGGAUGAUUGUUUGUAUGCGAAUGUUGUAAUUGAAAGUUUUAUCUUUAAAACCCAACCAACCAAUUAUCAUGCAGUGGGGGAUUUUCAAUAUUUAGAGCAGACUGUGUUUUAUUGUUAUAUCUAGGUUUAGAGUGAUGGGAACUCUCCUUUUAUCAGUCAGCGUGAAAAAGUAUUUGCUCAACUGGCAGAUUAUUUCACUUAUUGGUGGGA